UGUCCCUGAGGAGUUUGGAAAUUUGGUCAACUUAACUACCCUGGAACUUUCCUCCAAUUAUUUUUCUGGAAGGUUGCCUAUAAAACUAGCAAAACUGAAGAACAUGAAGAAGUUUAGAAUAAGUGAUAAUAGCUUUACUGGCACUGUACCAGAAUUUAUUGGGGGAUGGACUAAUCUUGAAAUGCUGGAAAUGUAUUCAAGUGGACUAGAAGGACCCAUCCCUGCUGCAAUUUUCAGUCUGGGAAGUUUGAAUGAC